rnacentral:precursor_RNA from 15 species
GGAAAUGAAUACCCACUGAGAUGACGGGGCAAGCCCUUACCCAUCUAGCUGAUGAAUGUUUCUCAGGUAGAGAGGAAGGGGUUGCUCCUUUAUCUCACAGCACCUCACCCUUCAG